rnacentral:tRNA from 2 species
GCCCCCGUGGCGGAAUUGGCAUACGCGGCAGGUUGAGGGCCUGUGCCCAUCCGGGCGUCUCCGUUCGAGUCGGAGCGGGGGCACCA